rnacentral:piRNA from 1 species
AGCUAAAUGAAGCAGCCAGUGCCACA